rnacentral:rRNA from 1 species
GACGGAGGGUGCAAGCGUUGUUCGGAUUGACUGGGCGUAAAGGGCGUGUAGGCGGUCGGCCAAGUCUGAUGUGAAAGCCCGAGGCUCAGCCUCGGAAGUGCGUCGGAAACUAGUCGGCUGGAGCGCGAUAGAGGAGGGUGGAAUUCCUGGUGUAGCGGUGAAAUGCGCAGAUAUCAGGAGGAACACCGGUGGCGAAGGCGGAUCUCUGGGCCAUUACUGACGCUGAGGAGCGAAAGCGUGGGGAGCGAACAGG